CUGGUGAAAGCCAGCAGUGAAGCAUCAGCCUCUGUUCUCACAAACCUGACUGUGCUUUUCUUCAUUCUAGUAGCCAGCAAGACUAGCUGACUGGCUAACCUCGCUAGUGAGGCUCCACAAACAGCUGGGAUCGAUCCCUUUUUUUUUUUUUUUUUUGCAGUUUUCCUCCUGUGAUAGGACCUUGGGCAGCAGGCCUUUGUCCCAGCAGAUGACAAAAAUCAUCAUAGCGGCAAAAACACAGAGACUGAUUCAGGAACUGCCCAGCCUAGCUUGAUGCAAAGACUGCAAGCAAAUCUGCCUUAUUUACUUUCCAUGCUGUAAGCUAACCUACAACUCAUCCAAGAGCCGAGUGGAUUUUGUUCAGAGUCACAAUGCUCGACACCGGUAACCCUACGGCCUUUGUGUGUGGACACCCAGAAGUAUUUCAUACAGCUACCUAAAACCCAUGUUUUAAGUUGGUGAAGUGGA